rnacentral:rRNA from 1 species
GUCUUGCCUGCCCAGUGACAAGUUAAACGGCCGCGGUAUUUUGACCGUGCGAAGGUAGCGCAAUCACUUGUCUUUUAAAUGAAGACCCGUAUGAAUGGCGGAACGAGGGCUUAACUGUCUCCCUUUUCAAGUCAAUGAAAUUGAUCUGCCCGUGCAGAAGCGGACAUAUAAAUACAAGACGAGAAGACCCUUUGGAGCUUAAGAUACAAGACCAACUACGUCAAGGGCCCUCAAAUUCAAGCCAAACUAAGUAAUAUAUGAUCUAUAUCUUCGGUUGGGGCGACCACGGGAGAAAACAAAGCUCCCAUGCGGACCGGGGCCAUAACCCUAAAACCAAGAAAGACAUUUCUAAGUCACAGAACAUCUGACCACAAAGAUCCGGCCUACCAGCCGAUCAACGGACCAAGUUACCCUAGGGAUAACAGCGCAAUCCCCUUUCAGAGUCCAUAUCGACAAGGGGGUUUACGACCUCGAUGUUGGAUCAGGACAUCCUAAUGGUGCAGCCGCUAUUAAGGGUUCGUUUGUUCAACGAUUAAAGUCCUACGUGAUCU